CCUACGGGAGGCAGCAGUGAGGAAUAUUGGUCAAUGGCCGUAAGGCUGAACCAGCCAAGCCGCGUGAAGGACGAAGGCGCUAAGCAUUGUAAACUUCUUUUGUCAGGGGACAAAAUGAGUCACGAGAGCCUGAUUGAGGGUACUUGAAGAAAAAGCAUCGGCUAAUUCCGUGCCAGCAGCCGCGGUAAUACGGAGGAUGCGAGCGUUAUCCGGAUGUAUUGGGUUAAAGGGGUGCGUAGGCGGGAUGUUAAGUCAGCGGUAAAAGCCCGGGGCUCAACCCCGGCCAGCCGUGGAAACUGGCUGUCUUGAGUUGUCGGGAGGUAUGCGGAAUGCGCAGUGUAGCGGUGAAAUGCUUAGAUAUUGCGAAGAACUCCGAUUGCGAAGGCAGCAUACCGGCG
rnacentral:rRNA from 1 species